rnacentral:rRNA from 1 species
CCUACGGGUGGCAGCAGUAGGGAAUCUUUCACAAUGGGCGAAAGCCUGAUGGAGCAACGCCGCGUGCAGGAUGAAGGCCUUCGGGUUGUAAACUGCUUUUAUAAGCGAGAAAUAUGAUGGUAACUUAUGAAUAAGGAUCGGCUAACUACGUGCCAGCAGCCGAGGUCAUACGUAGGAUCCGAGCAUUAUCCGGAGUGACUGGGUGUAAAGAGUGGCGUAGGUGGCAUAAUAAGUAGCUAGUGAAAUCUGGUGGCUCAACCAUUCAGACUAUUAGCUAAACUGUUAAGCUCGAGACCGUUAGGGGUAACUGGAAUUCUUGGUGUAGGAGUGAGAUCCGUAGAGAUUAGAAGGAACACCAAUAGCGAAGGCAGGUUGCUGGGACGGUUCUGACACUAAGGCACGAAAGCGUAGGGAGCAAACGGGAUUAGAUACCCUUGUAGUC